AUUCUUAUUAAUGGAAAUCAAUCAGAAUCCGAUUUCAAGUUAUGGAUCUGAAGAUUAAUCAAGCGCUGGCGAUUGAAUUUUUUUUUCAUACCAACAUAAAUUCACAAUUGAAGGCUUGGUGAAGAUUACGACCGCAGUUGUGGCUGAUGACAAGUCGAAAACCAGAAGAAGCGGUCUAAGUCUCAUUUUACGAAGCUUCUUUCCGGUAUCCACAUGUGUGUCACUGGUUUCAUAUGUUGUUUGCGUGUUUCAAACGGGUGUGGCGUGUUGUCCUGUAAAUUAAGCUUCUAUGGAGCGAAAUUUGUGAACUAAUGAAGUAGAAACUCUCCCCAAAGCAAAACAGGUGGUUGCAUUUAUUCACAGAGAAAACUCAGCAACAAGCUUCAUCAGAUUUGGGCCAUUUGGCAGACCUGGAAAAUGCCUCUCGGCUUACGACGCCCGAUAAAUAAUCUUAAUGUAGGAAACUUCAACAAAAGAUCGAAGGAUCUGUGCAAAAGAAAAAGGAUUGAAGUGUAGUCUAAAAAAAGGAUUGAAGGAUAUGUAAAGAUUA